rnacentral:lncRNA from 1 species
UGAAGUACGUGUUAGUUUUGAUAUUGUGAAGUGAUAAAUGAUUCGUAUGAUUGAUAUUGGAUAAGAAUAUAUGGAUUAUAGUGACUGGAGUUGAUUGUUUGGAAUAUGUUGACAGGGGGAUACUCUAAUAAAUAGAGGAGACGCUGUCAAAUUAUCGAUAAGAUUUAUAGGAUAAUUGAUUGGUGAUAUGUUAUGUGGAAUAUGAUUGACUAUAUGUUAGAGUUAAAGCAUGCUUAUGUGUUACGUGGUAUCUGAUAAGUUUAAAGGGAUAUAUAAGUGGGUAUUGAUAUACGUGAGAUGUAUAUGCGAUCGAUUGUUUAGUGAUUAUAGUGUUAUCUUAUUCUCGUAAAGGAUUUGGACGAGACGUGUAUGCCCGAAGACGUUCAGAAAGUCACGUGGUGUUACAAAGCGAAUAAGGGAUGAAUCGAGUAAGCGAAGCGAAGAUGUACGGUAGAUAGAGUAUAGCCAGAGAUGGUCUAGAGACUAUGAGAUGCAUAGAUUGUGAAAGUGGAAAGAUGAGAUUGAGAUGUGAGACUGGAGUCAGAUUUAAGGCAAGUAUCCUGCACCCUGCUUUUGGAUAUAUUGCAAAUAUUCUGAUUCAUUCUUUUGAUGUGUUGCAAGUAUCCUAAACCCUUCUUUUGGAUAUAUUGCAUGUUCUGAUCCAUUCCUUUGGUAUAUGUUUCAGUUAUUAAAGUUUAAAUGUUCUCUUGAAAUUCUCCUAUUAUGGCUUUCAAGUUUGAAAUUCAGGUUUUGAAAUCAUUCGAUUUAUGUUCUCAUUCAAAUAUUUUAUUAAAUGUUUUCAGGUUUUAAAUUCUCUGAUUUUAUUAUCUUUUGAAAAAAAAAAAAAAUUUACAGGUUUUCGAAAGUGUUUAAAAAUGGUUUUUGUGUGGUGACGUCAGAAUCCAGGCCCCCGGAUUCUCGGACUGUCACAUCUGAGUCGAGCAAGGCAGAGGAAACACCUACUCCUCAGGCUACCGCCCUUGGACCAGAUGAGGGGAACCCUCCUAGCCCUCAGCCGGAAGCUGAGGCAUUAAUUGAAUUGGUGGAACCCCCAAUUGUCCUCCUAGCUUGCGAAAACCUUGAUUCUAUUAUGACACCUGUCAGGCUGCAGUCACUUCUCGAGUCUUGCAACCGUGGUUGUACUCUUGUCAUUCCACAGCCCGGGGAGAGACGUCACUGCUUUGAUAGCCUCAGACUUGAGACGGCCAUUCCCAACGUCGUAAUGUCGUCCCAGUUUUUUAAGCUAGGGAUAUCGUUGCCCCUUCACCCCUUCAUCCUGAAGAUAAUGGACUUUUUUUUUAUUUAAGCAAGAAACAUUUAUUUUAAACUCACCCAAACGGUCCCUAAAUCAAUUUCAGACUUAUUUGUAAUUUUAAACCGAUUCUACUUAUAUAUAUAAUAGCUCAACACGUUCGUGUCAAGCCUCCCUGUGAUAGUCCAAUUCAAUAAUUCUUUGGAAAGAUUGAAUUUCUCAGUUUAAAUGCUGCAAGGUAUUGUAAAUCAUUCUAUACAAUACCAUGAACUCAUGAACUCAGGUUGAAUCCUCUUAUAUCUUGAACUCGUGAACUUCUAUUAUAUCAUUUCAGAACUAUCAUUGUUUAUUACUACUUGCUGAGCAUUGUUGCUCACUCUUGCUAUUCUCUUUUAACCAUUUCAGAAAGGCUUAAAGAUGAGUGGCUAGACUGUGAUGGUGAAUAAGGCUAAUGCUAGGCGAGGAGACAGAGUUGAGGAUCCAGUGAUCGAGGAGUGUUCAGGGAAGUUGAUGAGGUUGGUGCAAGCUGGAAUAGUUGACAGUGAUUCUUCUUAUUGAGGAUGAUCUGAUUUGGUAAGAGAUGUUGUGUAAUAAUAGUGGUAGAUUCUAAUUUCAAUACUGUAACCUGGAUGCGAUCCUGUUGCUUUUAGGGGGUUUAAAUGUUCUCCUUCGAAUCAGUUAUUAAAGUUUAAAUGUUCUCUUGAAAUUCUCCUAUUAUGGCUUUCAAGUUUGAAAUUCAGGUUUUGAAAUCAUUCGAUUUAUGUUCUCAUUCAAAUAUUUUAUUAAAUGUUUUCAGGUUUUAAAUUCUCUGAUUUUAUUAUCUUUUGAAAAAAAAAAAAAAUUUACAGGUUUUCGAAAGUGUUUAAAAAUGGUUUUUGUGUGGUGACGUCAGAAUCCAGGCCCC